rnacentral:rRNA from 1 species
CAUGCAGUCGACGGAAGGCCCUUCGGGGUACUCGAGUGGCGAACGGGUGAGUAACACGUGGGUGAUCUGCCCUGCACUCUGGGAUAAGCCUGGGAAACUGGGUCUAAUACCGGAUAGGACCACACACUUCAUGGUGAGUGGUGCAAAGCUUUUGCGGUGUGGGAUGAGCCCGCGGCCUAUCAGCUUGUUGGUGGGGUAAUGGCCCACCAAGGCGACGACGGGUAGCCGGCCUGAGAGGGUGACCGGCCACACUGGGACUGAGAUACGGCCCAGACUCCUACGGGAGGCAGCAGUGGGGAAUAUUGCACAAUGGGCGCAAGCCUGAUGCAGCGACGCCGCGUGAGGGAUGACGGCCUUCGGGUUGUAAACCUCUUUCAGUAGGGACGAAGCGAAAGUGACGGUACCUACAGAAGAAGGACCGGCCAACUACGUGCCAGCAGCCGCGGUAAUACGUAGGGUCCGAGCGUUGUCCGGAAUUACUGGGCGUAAAGAGCUCGUAGGUGGUUUGUCGCGUUGUUCGUGAAAACUCACAGCUUAACUGUGGGCGUGCGGGCGAUACGGGCAGACUAGAGUACUGCAGGGGAGACUGGAAUUCCUGGUGUAGCGGUGGAAUGCGCAGAUAUCAGGAGGAACACCGGUGGCGAAGGCGGGUCUCUGGGCAGUAACUGACGCUGAGGAGCGAAAGCGUGGGUAGCGAACAGGAUUAGAUACCCUGGUAGUCCACGCCGUAACGGUGGGUACUAGGUGUGGGUUUCCUUCCUUGGGAUCCGUGCCGUAGCUAACGCAUUAAGUACCCCGCCUGGGGAGUACGGUCGCAAGACUAAAACUCAAAGGAAUUGACGGGGGCCCGCACAAGCGGCGGAGCAUGUGGAUUAAUUCGAUGCAACGCGAAGAACCUUACCUGGGUUUGACAUGCACAGGACGUACCUAGAGAUAGGUAUUCCCUUGUGGCCUGUGUGCAGGUGGUGCAUGGCUGUCGUCAGCUCGUGUCGUGAGAUGUUGGGUUAAGUCCCGCAACGAGCGCAACCCUUGUCCUAUGUUGCCAGCGGGUAAUGCCGGGGACUCGUAGGAGACUGCCGGGGUCAACUCGGAGGAAGGUGGGGAUGACGUCAAGUCAUCAUGCCCCUUAUGUCCAGGGCUUCACACAUGCUACAAUGGCCAGUACAGAGGGCUGCGAAGCCGUAAGGUGGAGCGAAUCCCUUAAAGCUGGUCUCAGUUCGGAUUGGGGUCUGCAACUCGACCCCAUGAAGUCGGAGUCGCUAGUAAUCGCAGAUCAGCAACGCUGCGGUGAAUACGUUCCCGGGCCUUGUACACACCGCCCGUCACGUCAUGAAAGUCGGUAACACCCGAAGCCAGUGGCCUAACCUUUUGGAGGGAGCUGUCGAAGGUGGGAUCGGCGAUUGGGACGAAGUCGUAACAAGGUAGCCGUACCGGAAGGUGCGGCUGGAUCACCUCCUUUCUAAGGAGCACCAUUUCCCAGUCGAAUGAACUAGGGAACAUAAAGUAGGCAUCUGUAGUGGGUGUCUACUUGGUGAAUAUGUUUUGUAAAUCCUGUCCACCCCCGUGGAUGGGUAGUCGGCAAAACGUCGGACUGUCAUAAGAAUUGAAACGCUGGCACACUGUUGGGUCCUGAGGCAACACGUUGUGUUGUCACCCUGCUUGGUGGUGGGGUGUGGACUUUGACUUCUGAAUAGUGGUUGCGAGCAUCUAAACAUAGCCUCGCUCGUUUUCGAGUGAGGCUGGUUUUUGCAAUUUUAUUAGCUAAGUUCUUAAGGGCGCAUGGUGAAUGCCUUGGCACUAGAAGCCGAAGAAGGACGUAGGAGGCUGCGAUAAGCCUCGGGGAGCUGCCAACCGAGCUUUGAUCCGAGGAUCUCCGAAUGGGGAAACCCAGCACGAGUGAUGUCGUGUACCCACUGC